rnacentral:lncRNA from 1 species
UAUAUUAAAAUUUUUUUUCUUAACUGUUGAAUAUGAUUGAUGGUUUUCUUUUUCUUUCUUUAAAAUAAAACAGGAUGACCAUGAAAGCUGUGGUUCUAAUUCCACCAACCGUAGUACUACUGAGAACACAAAAUCAUCAAUCAAACCACGGAGAAUUCAGCAGGCUGCGCCUACAGAUCCUGACUUACCACCAGCACAGACUCGAGAAAUGUAGGGAACUCGAGAGCAGCCACUCGGCCCCAGGAUCAACCCAGAACCGAAGAAAAACAACCGAGAGAAAUUAUUCUUCAGCCUGAAAUGAAACCGGGAUCAAAUGGUUGCUGAUCAGAGCACAUAUUUAAAUUGGAAAAGUCAAAUUGAGCAUUAUUAAAUAAAGCUUGUUUAAUAUGUCUGAAACAGAAAAUGUCUUUGGAAGAGCAUUUUAAACCUGAUAUUAAAAUCUGGCCGAGCGCAUGUCCCGAGGCUUCAUUGGUGAGCACAGGCAUUUGGGUCCUUUUGAGAAGUGCGGUCUUCUCCCUUCACGAGGUAUUUUUUCCCCCAAUGUCUAAAAUGAAAGUAGAAAGGUUUUAGGUAGCUAUUUAAAACUGUUCAUGCAACAUAAUAAAUAUAAGACAACUGACCCGCGUUUUAAUGUUUAUUCAUAAGACGAAGUGCAGCCCGGCUGUUGCAGUGACGCGGGCGGCUUGCUGGAGCCGAGAACACCCACGUGUGGGGGCGAUGUUUUCCCACCGCCGUGCAGUGGGUUAGCAACUGACCCGUGCUCCCACCAAACCUAAAACCACUCUCUAAUGGGCUUUACAGUAUUUACAUUUUGAAUUUUAUUUAUAGGACACCAGAUGUCUAUGUUCAAAAGAAAAAAAAAAUCAUUUGGAAUAUAAAAUCCCCCCCCUUCCCCACAUUCGUUAGCUGAGGAGAUAUUUGCCUUCCCCCCU